UCUCUCUCUCUCUCUCUCUCUCUCUCUCUCUCUCUCUCUCUCUCUCUCUCCAGCUCUCCCUUUCAUCAGACUCCCUCUCUCUCCAAACACCGCCGAACGCCGCUAGAACCCCAAUCCGCACCAAAAUUUCCAGAUUUUCUCCUCUUCACUCCCUCUACCCAUUUCUCCAACCAAAAUCAUGAAAUUUGGCCAUUCAAUCCUCCAAAAACCUUAGAAUCCGAAGCCAAUUUGGGGGUUUUUGUGAUUUCUUCAUUCUAAGUUCAAAUCAAGGUAAUCUUCCUCCUAAUCUAACCUCUAAUCAUCCGAUCUAUACUUAUUUCAUCCCAAAUUCGAGAUUUUGAUUUGUGAUUUUGGUGCAUAAACCCGAUUUUCCCUUAAACCAUGAGGAUAGGCUACGGGUUUGGCAAGGAUUUGUGGUGAAGAAGGCCAAGGAGAAGGAAUAGGGCCGUGCGUUUUGAAGAAGAAAGGGUUCGAUUUCGGGUUGGCCGGAGAUGGGGGUUACUGGCUGUGCGUUUCUGGGUUGGAGCUUUGCUUCAUUCUUGAUCCAAUUUGAUGGCUGUUUGUAUUUUGUCUUGGGUCAACCUGGAGAGAGGAGCACUGGUGGCUGCUAUGGCGACCUGAUGCUGGUGGUGGUGCAAUAGGAAGAAUGGGAAGUUGGAGGGUGCCUUGCUUGGACCGGGCUGGGCCUUACACACGGGCUGUGAUCCAAUUGCUACCCAGACUGAUGCUGGGGUUUGGGCCCAUAAAAUGGGCCCUGCCUUGGCUGUUUGUUUUCUUCAAGUUUUUAUUUAUUUAUGUUAUUUAGUUGUUUUGCGCUUUUUGCGAGCAAUAAGUCCCUACAAGUAUUGUGUAGGGUUAAUCGGGCUUUUUGCCUGUGUGUGCACUCAAAGUGCUUUGUCUGCUCUAGGUAGGUGGCGAGUUCCUUGCUUAGUCAAAUGGUCGCUACUACCUAGUGCCAGGGUGAAGCUAAGUGUCGUAGUAUUUAUUCUCCGGCGGCAACAUAAUAGGAAAAUUGUGCAAUUGGUAAUUAUGCUACGUUGUAAUCGAGUUACAUAUCGAGUUAUCUUUCUGUUAUGUCACCGCUAUGUCAAAGCAAAUGGAGUAGCCAGUAGAG